rnacentral:rRNA from 1 species
GUUGAUCCUGCGGGAGAUUGCUGCUAUUUGGGUUCGAUUAAGCCAUGCAAGUCUUCUAGCAAUAGAGGCAGAAUGCUCAGUAACACGUCGAUAACUUGCCCUUAAGUCUGGAAUAACCUCGGGAAACUGAGGCUAAGACCGGAUAGGAAAUUACUUCUGGAACGAUUUUUUUCUGAAAGGUAACGCUUAAGGAUAGGUCGGCGGCGGAUUAGGCUGUUGGCGAGGUAACGGCUCACCAAACCUUAGAUCCGUACGGGCUCUGAGAGGAGUAGCCCGGAGAGGGGCACUGAGGUACUGGCCCCAGCCCUACGGGGUGCAGCAGGCGCGAAACCUUUACAAUGCACGCAAGUGUGAUAAGGGAACCCAAAGUGCUUAGUUAAACUAGGCUUUUGUUGAGUGUAGAUAACUCGACGAAUAAGUGGUGGGAAAGACUGGUGCCAGCCGCCGCGGUAACACCAGCGCCACGAGUGGCAAUCCUAUUUAUUUGGCCUAAACGUCCGUAGCCGAUUGAGUAAAUCUCUUGUGAAAUUGUUCUGCUCAACAGAACAGCGUGCAGGAGACACUGCUUAGUUAGGGACCGGGAGGAGUCAGAGGUAUGCUUAGGGGAGCGGUAAAAUGUUAUAAUCCUAAGUAGACCACCUGUGGCGAAGGCGUCUGACUAGAACGGGUCCGACGGUGAGGGACGAAAGCCAAGGGAGCAAACCGGAUUAGAUACCCGAGUAGUCUUGGCUGUAAACUCUGCGAGCUAGGUGUCGCAUAUUCUCCGUGAAUAUGCGGUGUCGAAGCGAAGGUGUUAAGCUCGCCGCCUGGGAAGUACGGUCGCAAGACUGAAACUUAAAGGAAUUGGCGGGGGAGCACUACAAGGGGUGCGGCGUGUGGUUUAAUCUAACUCCACGCAGAGAAUCUCACCAGAGGCGACGGCAAGAUGAAGGUCAGUCUAAAGGGCUUACCUGAUGAGCCGAGAGGUAGUGCAUGGCCGCCGUCAGCUCGUGCCGUAAGGUGUCCUGUUAAGUCAGGCAACGAGCGAGACCUGUAUCCACAAUUGCUAACGACUAAUUUUUAGAAUCGAGCACAUUGUGGGGACUGCCCUGGAAACAGGGAGGAAGGUGCAGGCAACGGUAGGUCUGUAUGCUCCGAAUCUUCUGGGCUACACGCGCGCAACAAUGAUACAGACAAUGGGUCGCAACUCCGAAAGGAGAAGCUAAACCUCGAAACUGUACCCAAGUCCAGAUUGAGGGCUGUAACUCGCCCUCAUGACGCUGGAAUCCCUAGUAAUCGGAACUCAUCACAUUCCGGUGAAUAUGUCCCUGCUCCUUGCACACACCGCCCGUCAAACCACCCGAGUAGGGUCUAGAUGAGGCUUGGUUUUGAAUCAAGUCGAAUCUAAGCUUUGCGAGGAGGGUUAAGUCGUCACAAGGUA